UUCGCGCACGAACUUUCGGAGUGCGAUUUAGUGUACUUUCAGGAUAUUGUGUCGCGUUUUCGUGUGAUUGAGCAGUCGUAGUGAGCGUCCUAACCGCGUGUUCCCGCUCAAUUUUGUGAGUUAGGCCAUCAGACUCGUGCCGUCGGAAUUUGAUGCCAAUUUGAGAGUUUCGCAUGAAUUCUCGCCGUGAUAUUAGUGUCUAGUGUGUAAUACAGUCAGUGGAGCAACGGCUCGUGAGUUACAAUUGUGGCGAUUCACUGAUUCUAUCGAGUGUUUUCUGACUUCAAUUAUAUAUGGCAGCCUCCAGCGUGUUUGAAGACUUGGCCUGCUUUCAACUUUCUUUCUAAGAUCUCUGGUUUGGUUGAUUCUGGAAUCGAGUUUUUCAGUGCAGUCUCAGUGGUAGUGUUGUGAGUGCUUUCAGCUUGGCGUCGGGCAAUUGGAUAACCUUCUGCUGAAUCGAUAGCUACGGGCCUCUCAUUAGGUACGUUAUUUUAAUUUUUUGGAUUGACACAAUUUCUGAUCACUCGACAGUAUGUUUUUUCAUUACUGAAACUAAAUUUCAAGUGGAUUGAUUUCAGAAGGA
rnacentral:lncRNA from 1 species